rnacentral:rRNA from 2 species
AUAUUGGGCGUAAGAGCUCGUAGGCGGUUUGUCGCGUCUGCUGUGAAUCCCGAGGCUCAACCUCGGGCUUGCAGUGGGUACGGGCAGACUAGAGUGCGGUAGGGGAGAUUGGAAUUCCUGGUGUAGCGGUGGAAUGCGCAGAUAUCAGGAGGAACACCGAUGGCGAAGGCAGAUCUCUGGGCCGUAACUGACGCUGAGGAGCGAAAGCGUGGGGAGCGAACAGGAUUAGAUACCCUGGUAGUCCACGCCGUAAACGUUGGGCGCUAGAUGUAGGGACCUUUCCACGGUUUCUGUGUCGUAGCUACGCAUUAAGCGCCCCGCCUGGGAAGUACGGCCGCAAGGCUAAAAUUCAAAGAAUUGACGGGGGCCC